CAGAUAUCAAAGAGAUGAGGAUCAUAAGGAAACAAUUACCCUCUUAUGACAAGGCAGUGGAUGGAAGGCUUUACACUAUUAAAAAUGAGGACACAUUCCUCUGGGUUGUACUCCAUUUCCCAGACUUGUCCCUGUGACAAGGAAGUGAAAACUGUAUGGUCACAUUUAAGGCAUAUCUUUAAGGGGACUUUCUUAGUCCAUUUUAUGUUGCUAUAACAGAAUAUCACAGACCACGUAAUUCAUAGUGAACAGAAAUUUAUUCGGUUCAUAAUUCUGGAGGCCGGGAAGUCCAAGAGCAUGGUGCUGGAAUCAUCGCAUGGCUGAAGGUGAAGGGAAAGAGAAGUUUAUUGUUGCUGUCAAAAGGAGAUAAGCAUAUGUUUGUCAAGAUUACUUCCUGAAAAAGAUCUCAUUUUGGACUCAUUAAAUAA